UACAGAGGUCUCAAGCGUUGUUCGGAUUCAUUGGGCGUAAAGGGUGCGUAGGCGGCGCGGUAAGUCGGGGGUGAAAUCUCGGAGCUUAACUCCGAAACUGCAUUCGAUACUGCCGUGCUUGAGGACUGGAGAGGAGACGUGGAAUUUACGGUGUAGCGGUGAAAUGCGUAGAUAUCGUAAGGAAGACCAGUGGCGAAGGCGGGUCUCUGGACAGUUCCUGACGGCU
rnacentral:rRNA from 1 species